AAAUUGAAGAGUUUGAUCAUGGCUCAGAUUGAACGCUGGCGGCAGGCCUAACACAUGCAAGUCGAACGGUAACAGGAAACAGCUUGCUGUUUCGCUGACGAGUGGCGGACGGGUGAGUAAUGUCUGGGAAACUGCCUGAUGGAGGGGGAUAACUACUGGAAACGGUAGCUAAUACCGCAUAAUGUCGCAAGACUAAAGAGGGGGACCUUCGGGCCUCUUGCCAUCGGAUGUGCCCAGAUGGGAUUAGCUAGUAGGUGGGGUAACGGCUCACCUAGGCGACGAUCCCUAGCUGGUCUG
rnacentral:rRNA from 1 species